AAGGUCUCUAGUGAAGUGAAGUGU
rnacentral:siRNA from 1 species